rnacentral:rRNA from 1 species
CCUACGGGGGGCAGCAGUGGGGAAUAUUGGACAAUGGGGGGAACCCUGAUCCAGCCAUGCCGCGUGUGUGAAGAAGACCCUCGGGUUGUAAAGCACUUUCAGUGAGGAAGAACGCCUGGUGGUUAAUACCCAUCAGGAAAGACAUCACUCACAGAAGAAGCACCGGCUAACUCCGUGCCAGCAGCCGCGGUAAUACGGAGGGUGCGAGCGUUAAUCGGAAUUACUGGGCGUAAAGCGCGCGUAGGUGGCUUGAUAAGCCGGUUGUGAAAGCCCCGGGCUCAACCUGGGAACGGCAUCCGGAACUGUCAAGCUAGAGUGCAGGAGAGGAAGGUAGAAUUCCCGGUGUAGCGGUGAAAUGCGUAGAGAUCGGGAGGAAUACCAGUGGCGAAGGCGGCCUUCUGGACUGACACUGACACUGAGGUGCGAAAGCGUGGGUAGCAAACAGGAUUAGAUACCCGAGUAGUC